rnacentral:rRNA from 1 species
UGGGGAAUUUUGGACAAUGGGGGCAACCCUGAUCCAGCAAUGCCGCGUGUGUGAAGAAGGCCUUCGGGUUGUAAAGCACUUUUGUCCGGAAAGAAAACGCCGUGGUUAAUACCCGUGGCGGAUGACGGUACCGGAAGAAUAAGCACCGGCUAACUACGUGCCAGCAGCCGCGGUAAUACGUAGGGUGCAAGCGUUAAUCGGAAUUACUGGGCGUAAAGCGUGCGCAGGCGGUCCGCUAAGACAGAUGUGAAAUCCCCGGGCUUAACCUGGGAACUGCAUUGGUGACUGGCAGGCUAGAGUAUGGCAGAGGGGGGUAGAAUUCCACGUGUAGCAGUGAAAUGCGUAGAGAUGUGGAGGAAUACCGAUGGCGAAGGCAGCCCCCUGGGCCAAUACUGACGCUCAUGCACGAAAGCGUGGGGGAGCAAACAGGAUUAGAUACCCUGGUAGUCCACGCCCUAAACGAUGUCAACUAGUUGUUGGGGAUUCAUUUCCUUAGUAACGUAGCUAACGCGUGAAGUUGACCGCCUGGGGAGUACGGUCGCAAGAUUAAAACUCAAAUGAAUUGACGGGGUCAUA